GGCUGGCUUCUUACCCUGGAGGGUCAAGCUGCUGAGAUGAUAGGAAACAACGUAGAAAAACAGACCUUGUGGCAAGAGAGAUUUCCAUUUUGAACUUUGAGGACUGUUGGUCAAACGGGAAGGCUCAAGAGUGAGUUUGCUUCAAGAAGACAUUUCACUGCAGGCGAGAUAAAUACACAGUGAAAUAGAACUUCUUGCCUUGCUUCAGCUUUUUUUUUUUUUAAAAAAAAAAAAAAAAAAGUGAAGCGCCUGCUCUUGGUCCAUUUUCUCCCUCUCCUCAGUGGAUUGAGGCAAAAAUCCAUUAGAGGACCCACCCUGUGUGAGAUGUGCUGUCCCCGUAUGCACAGUGUGUCUCAGUGGCCAUUUGCCGUGAUAAGGCGAGCAUGGUCUCUUCUCAGUAGAGUACUUAACAUUUUCUAGGGUUGGUUUUUUUUUGUUUGUUUGUUUUUUUCAAUGGAGAGAAUGUGAAGCAUGGCUUUUCAGACACCAUCCUCAAUGGGUCUGGGGUCAAGGGAGACUGCAAAGGAUGCGAUGAUGACACUCCAUCCAGGAUGUAUUAAAAUGAUUUGCUUUAUAGGUAUUAAUACAACAUUUGUCAUUGUCACUGAUUUUUUUAAAGGAGCAAUGCAAAUGUUGAUUGUGGCUGUUUUCCGCAUGCUAUCUUCAUAUCUAAAUGUUUCAUUAAUUAUCCAAGCCUCUGGAGAAUUAACUCUAUUACGUUUGUAUAGUAAGUUAAUAAAAAUGCUUGGCAAACUGUUUAAGAGAUAAAUAUGCAGCACUGUGCCACUCCAGUGGCAGGUUUCUGGUAGACACUGGGUGAGUCCAAUUUGGAGCUUUGAGUUUGUUGAUUGGUGAGAAUUAAAAGGCAUUAUUGGGAAAAGAAAAAGGGAAAGAAAAGAGAGGGAAAAUAGAUCACUUAGCAAAUGGUUGAAACCAUGUAUCCUCUCUGGCCCCAAAUCCAAAGAAUGAAAUUUUCCCAUUGAAAGUUGUUUUCUUACUCUGUCCUUGGCAGGGUACCUCUUACAUUUCCCAGAUACGGUUUGACUAGCCCUCAGCCCCAAGAAGAAAGCAAUAUAGAAGCUGCUUACGUAACAUCAAGUCUAGCUAUCCAGAAAACAUUCAAGAUCUCUCUGACCAAAACUUAAAAUAUAAUGAGAUACAAGCUUCAGGGUCAAACUGUCCACCAGCAAGAUCACCCCCCUUCUAUUGAACCAGUGAAGAUUUCUUCUCAUUCUAAAAGCAGCCAGAUGCCCUACAAAGAAUGUCAUUUGAGGAAGGCCAGCUCCUCACAAUAGUCGUAGUUCCUUAAAGCGACUGCACAGUAGUGGGCAGCGUGACAGUAAACUAGAAUUUCUCUACCUUGAAGUCACAACUAAGAUAUAACACCCAGAAUCUCAUUCCCCAAAUUCAACUACAUUCUUUCCUAAGGUGGGAAUUUAAGGCCCUCCCAGAUUCCUCCAGUGUAUCCCUUCCCUUCUGUUGGCCAAGUUUCCCUGGGUGGGGGUGGGGCCUGUACUCAGUCCCCUUAAGUUUUAUCUUCUGUAGAUCGGCUUUCAGAAGAGCCGUCUUUCCCCCCUUUUCUCUUUGAUGAUGAUCUGGCUGACUUUUUCCAUCUCUCCUAUGAUUGGGCUGACUUUGUUUAGAACUGCAGCUCUAGAGUUCAGUUCAUGUCACACUGCUGCCACAUCCAGCACCAGCUAAGCCAGCCCCCUUCUCCAGGCCAAGGAGUGUAUAAAAGCCAUUAAAAGUUUCCUGAGUGCUCUGGCUAGCAUAUUCCACCUCUGGUCCUGCGGAAAGGGCUCAUGCUGAUGAUUGGUAGCUUUGAGCAUCCAUCACGGCAUUCAGAGGCCCGCCCUUCUGUCCUGUAUAGUUGUAGGUUCUCUACCCUGUGCGCAGGUAAAAUGAGGUGAGGAAAAUCAGACCUCAUUUCCUGGUUUUUAACAUGCAUAAAGCAGAAUUGCUGGUGUCGGUUGUUUGAAACCCUCUUUCUGCAUCCUAUAAUCUUUCAUUUACUGUCCAAGCAGCUGUCUGAACAGAUUUGGGUUUUCUAAUAGGAAAAGUCAUGAUCUUUUCCUAUAGAAUGCUCCUCCUACAGAGCUGUAGGAAGAUGACGUUCUUUGCACAUCUUCUAGGAGUUCCUACUUCUUAUGACCCAUGGUGGCAUGAAUGCAGCACUUACUAUGUAUGCUCUACCUGCCACCGCAGUGGAUGAUAAGCAGUGGAUUACUACACUUUCCAAGGAGAGUGGAUUCUCACCCCAGGUAUCUUUACAAUACUGCAACAAGCCAGGGCUAAUGAACUAGAGCCGGUCUCCUCUGUCUUAUGACAAAUCUUACUCAUACACUGAUUCUUUCCUGGAUCCCUGGGAAAGGAGCAGUACACUAGACAUUUAAGGAGCACCCAUCACAAAGAAUUGGGAGACUCCAUUUCCUCUUCCUCCCACACUGUGGAAGCUACAGGAAGCUGAACUCUUAGGCCAAACAAGGCUCUCUUUGGCCUCCUUUUUCAUGCUCAGGGUCUUUGCCAGUUAUGUGGGCAGUUCCUGCUCACUUUACAGAGGUCAGCUAAGAGUCUAUCUGUUUUCUCAUCCCAGCCCAUACUAUAGGGACAUAGGACACUUAAAUUCCAAAGCAGAGUAGAAUUCAUACUUUGCAUACUCCUAACAGAGACCAGACGCUGUGCUUCACAAAGAUCCACCUAUGACCAGGAAAGUAGAAAAUUGAGCCAGUGGCCUGAAUGUCACAUGCAAGCAGAGUUGUUCUGGCACCUGCGUGGCACCUUUGGGCUCUGCAGAUCCUGUUCCACAGGCUUCCAUUACUGAUCUUGAAGACAGUUACACAUUAACACCUUUUGAAAAGUACAUUUCUUUGAGCAAACGGCAAAUAGGAAUGAGAUCUUUGCCUUCUUGUCAGGGUUCACCCCAGCGUAUGUGUGUAUGGCCAUCCAGAAGCCAUGAAGGUCAGGAUGGAGGAAGAAUUGAUUUCUUUUUCUGUUUUCUUAUAUUAGAAGCCUAGUCAACACAAGACCCCUAUAGAGUACAACUAUUGGGAGCUAUUGCUGUUAUAUAAAUUCAUUUCUGGCUUCCAGAACCAGCCUCCCUCAGAGGAAUAAAAUGGAGGCUGAAAAGGUCAUGUGCUAUUAACAGACAUUUCUGUGGUUCAGAUGUGAUAAACUCAAGAUAGAUGUCUAGUUCUAUCUUGAGCAUUUUCUAAGAAAACCUUCAUGGUCUAGGCAUUUGGUCAUUGGUGUUCAAUAGGUCACCAAACAAAUGUUUCUAAAUUUUAGGAGGUUACUUGCCAAUAUGACCUUCUCUUAUGUUUAUCUAGUUGGUUUCCAUAGUUUUCAAUAAAGUAUUCUGGUUUAAUCCUGACCCCGAGUUAACAACAUAAGACCAAGGACUCUUCUGUAAUCUUCAACAAAGUAGGCCAGCAUUUAUUCUCCCUAAACUCGUUCAUUCCUGCAGAGUUGCUUUGCUCAGAUCCUAUUUAAUUCCACAUGCAUAAACAAAACCUCAGAGGGCCCAAGAAGGCGAAGCAGGCUGGAGUCUGUGUUAUCUGUCAAGUGUCAAGCUGUUUGUUAGGAAGGCCUGUCACAGGCUUUUGGCGUGGGUUCUGCCAGAGACUGUUCUGAACACUUUGCUUGAGAUCCGUGCCCUGUAAAGUGGAUAUGAUGUUUUACUGAUUCUGUAAUACAUUUGUAAACUUCCAAUAAAAUUUG
rnacentral:lncRNA from 1 species